AGUGAACGCUGGCGGUAGGCCUAACACAUGCAAGUCGAACGGCAGCACAGGAGAGCUUGCUCUCUGGGUGGCGAGUGGCGGACGGGUGAGGAAUACAUCGGAAUCUACUCUGUCGUGGGGGAUAACGUAGGGAAACUUACGCUAAUACCGCAUACGACCUACGGGUGAAAGCAGGGGACCUUCGGGCCUUGCGCGAUUGAAUGAGCCGAUGUCGGAUUAGCUAGUUGGCGGGGUAAAGGCCCACCAAGGCGACGAUCCGUAGCUGGUCUGAGAGGAUGAUCAGCCACACUGGAACUGAGACACGGACCAGUCUCCUACGGGAGGCAGCAGUGGGGAAUAUUGGACAAUGGGUGCAAGCCUGAUCCAGCCAUACCGCGUGGGUGAAGAAGGCCUUCGGGUUGUAAAGCCCUUUUGUUGGGAAAGAAAUCCAGCUGGCUAAUACCCGGUUGGGAUGACGGUACCCAAAGAAUAAGCACCGGCUAACUUCGUGCCAGCCGCCGCCGUAA
rnacentral:rRNA from 1 species